GACGAACGCUGGCGGCGUGCCUAAUACAUGCAAGUUGAGCGCUGAAGGUUGGUACUUGUACCGACUGGAUGAGCAGCGAACGGGUGAGUAACGCGUGGGGAAUCUGCCUUUGAGCGGGGGACAACAUUUGGAAACGAAUGCUAAUACCGCAUAAAAACUUUAAACACAAGUUUUAAGUUUGAAAGAUGCAAUUGCAUCACUCAAAGAUGAUCCUGCGUUGUAUUAGCUAGUUGGUGGGGUAAAGGCUCACCAAGGCGAUGAUACAUAGCCGACCUGAGAGGGUGAUCGGCCACAUUGGGACUGAGACACGGCCCAAACUCCUACGGGAGGCAGCAGUAGGGAAUCUUCGGCAAUGGACGAAAGUCUGACCGAGCAACGCCGCGUGAGUGAAGAAGGUUUUCGGAUCGUAAAACUCUGUUGGUAGAGAAGAACGUUGGUGAGAGUGGAAAGCUCAUCAAGUGACGGUAACUACCCAGAAAGGGACGGCUAACUACGUG
rnacentral:rRNA from 1 species